GUGUGUGUGCUUGCAUGCACACAUGUGUGUGAGGUAUCUUGUGUCAGCACAUUUGAUGCAGAAGCCUACAGGAACCAUACUAAUUAAAAUGAACUAAGUGUGACAGUGCCUGUAUAAUUGUCUAAUACAGUAUGUAUAUGUAUGCCUCAGUGAGUGAGUACUUGAGAAUGUGUGCAUAUGUGUGUUUUGUGUAUAAGCAUAUUAGUGCAUACCUGGAUGACGGGGGGGGGAAGGAGGAUGACGGUGUGAGUAUCGCGAGAAUCGAGCAGAGAUGAGAUCCAACAUGGUGGCGCCCAGCUGUUGACAAGCGCAGCAAGACAAGACUACUCUGUGAUUUAAACUUUUUUUUUCGGACUAGUGUAGCCGGUUGAACCCCGGUAGUGAUUAAAGUGAUUAGGUUCACCUGGUGCGACGGCACGUAAUGUGCACGUAACCUCCUCCGGUAUUUAGAGAACCCCGGUAGUGAUUAAAUUGAUUAGGUUCACCUGGUGCGACGGCACGUAAUGUGCACGUAACCUCCUCCGGUAUUUAGAAGUGUCUCGGGAUUGUGUGAAACUCUUGCGGGCGUCCCUGAAAAGCUGUUUGUUGUGGGUAGCUGUGCCGUUGUCCAUGGAAGCUUGUGGGGUUUAUUCCAGCCGAGUUUGAGUGCACCGAGAGCUCCGGGCUUCUUUUUCUUCCCUGGGUCAUCAGUAGCAUUUACCCCUGAGAGUAAAGAUUUUGUUGUGGCUGUGGACCUGGAGUUGAUCACUGUUUUCCCCGUUUUUCUUUUAUUGUUGAUUUGGCUUAGCGUCACCGCCAGCUUUGUUCUACAGUCUUGUGUUUUUUUCUUUUGUAUUGUGUGCGUGAGUGUGUUUGGUGCGUGUACGUGUUGUACUGACUGAGGUUGUGUACGCAGUGGUUAGCGUAGUCCAAUCAAUGCCGGUCGAGUAGCGUCAGUGUUUGGUUGACCGGUUCUACCGGCUGCAGAGUAUAGCCCCUGAUUAGUUUGCCCCCCUCCCCUCCCCUUCUUAGCUUUCCCUGCCGCCACGGGUUCGCCCGUGUCGAUUCAGCGGCUCGCCUGUGUGCGGCUGCUGCGUAUCUGAUUCUCUGUUCUGUUUUUUUGUUUUUUUUUGAACGAUUUCUUUGAUUUAUUUUGUUUUCUUGCCCCUUUACUGCCCUCUUCUCUAUGAUCUGUGGCCUGACUGUAACUGAUCCUGUUGGCCGAAGGUUACAUAGCAGUAUUGUGUGGACACGCCCUAGUGGCAAGAGUGUGGGUUGCACCUUUUGUGUGCUUGCUGUGCAGUGUAGUGUGAUGCUUGAUAGCUCUUAACUAUUGUGUGUACACAUAAUAUAAUCUGUCACAGUUUUUUUUAAUACUGCUUAGCUCAGGGCCCAACUGUGCUUCAGUUAAGUGGGCACAGGUUCUCAGUGAGGGGAUUCUUGGUGUCGGCAUCUUUGUCCGUGUGCCACUUGUUGGUUUAACGUGUUCCCUUUGUCAUUUCUGAAUGUAUACUGCUGCGCUUGUUUUUUAACUGAAGACUGAGAGAACACAAAUAUACAUGAAAUGGAACAAUAAUAAAUUAUUGAUUAUUUAUUGACUGUAACAGCCUCCCUUCUCCAUUUAUUUGGACAGCCUGGGUUUAGGUCAUUAUCCAUCCAAUAGCCUAACAAAAAAAAACUACCUAGGGCAUUCUUGUAAUUUGGGGUGCAUAUUCCUGUUACACUAAGACAAAUCAACAUUUCAUCGACUACCAAACACACAAAACAAGCUACACACUGAUUAUAUUCUGGAGGAUUUAACGGACUUGGAGGCUUUCAUCGACGAUCACUACUUCCACCUGCAGUCAAGCAUGGACUCUAACCAGGACUUAAACACACCCAACUCCAAGAGGAGAAAAAGAGACUCCGCAACGGACACAGCUGAUCUACAAACCACCGAAGUUGAGGUUAGUGUGCUGUCGAGCAUUAACAAAAAACUGGAUAUGUUGGUGUCAAUACUUGAGGAGCUAAAAGACAUGCAUAACAGUCUUGAAUUUGCCCACAACCAAAUCAAAACACUACAAAAAUUCAAUCAGGAACUGCAAACUAAUGUUACAACACUCACCCAACAAAUGCAAAACAUCACUGCCGAAAACAAACAGAUGAAAGAAACAAUUCUAGACAUCCAAACACGCUCGAUGCGCAAUAACCUCAUCUUCUCAGGCAUUCCAGAAACCUCACCCGACAAUCCAGAACUGCAAAUCAAAAACUUCAUGCUAACUCAACUCAAACUGCCCGGCGACGUUGUCCAAAACAUCACCUUCCACCGAGUUCACCGUCUCGGCAAACAGCAAGAGCACAAUAAAGCUAGGCCCAUCAUCGCAAAAUUCGAACACUAUCAACAAAAAGAACUGGUCAAAAGCAAAGGAAAACAACUCAAGAACACCACUUAUGGAAUGAACGAUCAGUUCCCACGGGAGAUAAACGAACGACGGAAAGUUCUCUACCCCAUAUUAAAGGAAAACCGAGGAAACAACAUACGUGCAGUGUUGGUAGUCGAUAAACUCUAUAUAAAUGGACAAUUAUUCCGAAGCCCUGAAAUAACACCAUGGCUCUUUUGAAUAAAUAAAUAAUAAAUAAAUAAAUCUUCUCUGACACCUCUGUAGGCUUACAGCAUUAUUAGCUAGCCCAUCACCUACACUUCUCCUGAGUUAACCAUUUUUUAAAAAUUUUAUUUAUUUAUUUAGUUUUUGCUCUCUAUCUUUUUUGUUUUGUUUGUUUACUGCCCCUUAGCACCUUUCUCAA